AAGAAAUUUAAUUAAAAUAAAAAUUAAAUAACUUUUUUUAAGGUUAUACAUAAUUUUAUGAAAUUAUUCGAAAAAAACUCUUCAUUGAGUUAAAGAAUUCGAGUCUACCAUAUCAAAAUGUUUAUCUAAUAAAGAUUUGGAAUUGUUUUUAUAAAUUGUAGGAGCUGUCAAAAAAUAUUUGGAAUUUAACCCAAUUUUUAUCAAAAAAAUUUAGUUGGAGCGCCAAAAGCUUGUUUAAAUCAAAAUAAAGCUGGUAAAAAUUAGAUAUUGGUGAAAUUAAUGGAAUUAUUUCAUUCUAAGAAAGCAUGAGAGGUCAUCUCAUUACGAUUAAUAUAGGCACUCGAAGUAUGUUUUUAAGAAGUUUUGAUUUAGUUUUUAUCUUCAGAGAUUAUAUCAAUAUUAAAUAAUUAAUCUUACCUUUACAUUAAAGUCAUAUUUGAGUUUUAAAUCAACUCAUUUGUCUCAAAAUUAGCCCAAAACAGCGAUGUUAUCAUCAGAAAGAAAUUUAUUCUGUAAAUAACUAUAAUAUUAGUACAUUAAAUACAGUUGUUUAUGAUCUUA